UACGUAGGGUGCGAGCGUUAAUCGGAAUUACUGGGCGUAAAGCGUGCGCAGGCGGUUUUGUAAGUCAGAUGUGAAAUCCCCGGGCUUAACCUGGGAACUGCAUUUGUGACUGCAUAGCUAGAGUACGGUAGAGGGGGAUGGAAUUCCGCGUGUAGCAGUGAAAUGCGUAGAUAUGCGGAGGAACACCGAUGGCGAAGGCAAUCCCCUGGACCUGUACUGACGCUCAUGCACGAAAGCGUGGGGAGCAAACAGG
rnacentral:rRNA from 1 species